rnacentral:lncRNA from 1 species
CUCAGGGGCUCAGAAAAACUAAGACAGAAGACUACAAGGCUUUGUUUCCUGGGAAGAUGAAAUUUCACUGAUGCACUCUGGAAGUCACCCCACCUGAGAGGAGAACUGGCUACCAGUGAUCAGAGGAAGUGAGGAGUGCAGAUGGAGUAAAAGCCACGGGUGUCUAUACGACAUUCCAUACAGCUGCAUUGCAAUUCCUGCCGCUAUUCUGCAGUUCCACCAGC